CUUGUUCUAAGAAGACAUGCUCAGUAGUAACUAUAAGCGGCGCGGAUCAGAUGAAAUCUGCCACCCCUGCUGGCAGAGAAAUGAUAGAUUGUCAACUCGUAGUCUUGAGCCACCUCAACAAGAAGCAUAAACUGUUAUUCUACCGAACAUAAAAAAAGUAGCAGAUACCCAAAAA